AAGGAGGGCUGUGUUUUGGUUCGCAUAUUGUUUUGGGACAUGCAGCUUAGGUAUAUUUACUUAUAUGUGCAAACUGAACCACAUUUCUCCUCUCCCCUAGUUAGGUGCAUCAAGCAGGUUAACAUUUGACCCUAGAUUUUACUGGCUUAAAUGUGUUCAGCUGUUCCCUUGUCAAUUUCUGAAUAGCCCAACCAAACUAUGAUGCACAUCUGCCAGGUUCUACAGCUAGAUCAUCACUGAUUUUUUAAAUUUUUUGGUAAGGGAUUCAAUUCUUAGAAAGGACAGUAUGUUCCCUCAAAAGGGAAAAAUGAUUUAUUUCAAAAGCCAGGUUCUUUCAAUAGGCCUUUGACAGUUAGGACCGAGAAGUGUACCCAAAAAGUGGAAUAAUGCACCAUUCAGAAUUUUAAUAGCCUUCAGGAAGCUAGUUCAGGGACAGCACCAGAGAAUUACGAAGCAUGGGACAUGAUCCAUAAAGUCCAUUUGGCGAGCAUGAUGUGCCAAUCUGUAUUUAUUACAACCACCCUCUGAUGCAUCUACAACACAAAUGGCCAGAUUUAUAUGCUCUAAUGGUCCCACAAUAAGAAAAACAUGUGGUCUUUAUCUCCCCUUUCUGCCCAAAAGAAUCCCUCCACAUACUUUCUGGGCAAUGCCUUGUCUGGGUUUAAUCACAGGGGAGCAAAAACUAGCAUUAUUAAAAAAUAAACAUAUUUUCAGAAGCAAGCAAAGGGUUGGAAGAUUGAUUCAGCAUGGAGACAGGACAUAAUGGGAAGCAGGUUCCCUCUAAUGAGGACUACUGGGAUGCAAAGGCAGGCAGGCAGAGCCACCCAUUUAAAAAGUUAUGGCAAUUCUGCUUAGCGGUAGGUUGUUUGCUUGCUAUCAGUUUCUCUGUUUAGCAGUGGGGGGACCUGGGUGAAAUCUACACACAUAUAAAAAUGCUGUGAAAAUGCUUUUUUAAAAAAACGUUUUGAAAAAUAUAUUGAAUUUGUCAUAGCUCACCAUCACCAUCUAGUGUCACAUUUGUGUAUUGCACUUUACAACACACUUAAAACAUUUUAUUUGCAGUUGUAUAGCUAAAUCCUGGGUGUGGAGAACCUCAGGCUCUGGGGCAAAAUUUGGUCCUCAAGACUUCUCCAUCUGGUCCUUAGGGCUUUUCAUAGCCCACAUCCUCUCCCUAAUCACACACACCAUUGCCAGCCACACUUCUGCCUUGCACCCUCCUUGGGUGUUUUUGCUUGGCUGUGUUCUUAGACUCUGAUGAGACUCUUACUUGUCUGAAUGGAAAAUAGAAUGUGUGUAGAAACCAGCCUAUUUUUUCAUGUCACAAAAUGUAUAUAUUGUAUCAAAACCUCAAAGCAGUUUUUAAAAAAAGAAUAAAACAAUAAAAUUAUCAGUAAAGAACAGUUAAGCGCAACUAUUUAAAACAUUCAAAAAUGAUUAAAAUCACCAGUAAGCUAAAAAUCAGGUUUAAAAUAUAAGUCAACAUUCUAUAUGUCUGGAUAGAGAAGGUGCCUUGCCUGAUGUGAAUAGGCAUGGAGUCCAAAGUAUGGGUGAUGUUACACUAAGAUAUCAGUUUCUUACAAGUACAGAAUGUGUAUUAUGUUGCACUUACAAAUAGUUCUAGUGUCACAGAAUGAAGCAAUCGUGGGGGGAUAUAUGUGGGGGGUUUUUGAAUUAAUUUUUAUUAAGUUUUCCAUUUUUACAAUAUUAAAGCAUAACAAAUAACAUAAUUCACAGUUUCAAAAUUUCCCCAUUCCCCUCAGACUUCCCUCAACCUCCCUCUCUGGUUUAUUUCAAAAUCAUAUCAUUUCCUGCAUAUUCCGUUUUUCACCCAUUUUUUGGUACUUGUAGAUUAUAUGAUUUUUGCUAAUUGUAUAUGAUUAUUCAUAUAAGGGGACGCGGGUGACGCUGUGGGUAAAACCUCAGUGCCUAGGACUUGCCGAUCGUAUUUGAAUCCCCGCAGCGGGGUGAGCUCCCGUCGUUCGGUCCCAGCUCCUGCCCACCUAGCAGUUCGAAAGCACCCCUAAGUGCAAGUAGAUAAAUAGUUACCGCUUUAUAGCGGCGUUUCCGUGCACUGCGCUGGUGCUGGCUCGCCAGAGCAGCUUUGUCACGCCGGCCACGUGACCUGGAAGUGUCUUCAGACAGCGCUGGCUCCCGGCCUCUUAAGCGAGAUGAGCACGCAACCCCAGAGUCGGUCACGAUUGGCCCAUAUGGGCAGGGGUACCUUUACCUUUACCUUUUUAUAUGAUUAUUCAAAACCUGCUAAUGAGUCCAAUUCUUUGCAUUGAUUCUUUAUGUAGGCCGAAAAUGGUUCCCAUUCUUUCUUAAAUUAUUUUUUAUCCUUAUUUUGAAGUCUUUCAGUUAGUUUUGCCAUUUCAGCAUAUUCCAUAGGUUUUUCUUGCCAUUCUUCUUUGGUUGGUAUUUUAUCGUUUUUCCAUCUUUGUGCCAGUAGCAUCCUUGCCGCGGUUGUAGCAAACUUGGGGGCGUAUAUGUGAUAAGGCAACCUUGAACUGAGAUUACUGAGAAGGUAGGUCUCUGAACUUACUGUACACAGGUAAUAUCUACAUUCAUUGCUCUCCUUUUUGCCUCUGGCCCAACCAACGCUAGCAUGUGGCCCAGAAGGGAAUGUGGCACUCAGGUUGAAAAAGCCCCCUCACCCCUGCUUUAGCAAAACAAUUCAUUGUUUAUAUGCACACACAGCAAACCCAGAGAAGUUGUAGUGUGGAUUCACACAUGCAUUUAAACCACAUUUAGGUGUUAUAGAUCCAACAUAGAGCGACACAGGAAUGGAACUGCACGAAGUAGCUGCACUCCCUGUUGUCAUCUGCAGACACAGGAUGUCUGCAGGCAGGGGCUCAACGCAUAUGAAAGCUUCUGUGCUCCCCAGAACCCCAACCAUGCUGGGUCCAUACAAAGGCUUUCAGCAAAUACAUGCAACUUCAGGUUUUAUGCUAUGCAUGGAUUUCUGGGGGCAGGGCUACUCAAUGCACUUGGUGGCAAGGGCGUGGCUGCUCAGCUCAGCCAUCCUGUCCUCCAGUGGUGAACCUGAACAGGAUUAUAUUUUGCUCAUUUUUAAAAUACUUGAAUACUGUAUACUUGAUGACUUCCAAUUGAAAGGCAAAGUAGAUAGGACCUGUAUGUUUAAACUCAGAACUCUAGAGUAGCAACAUUCCCUUGAUUGAUCAUUUUUUAAACUGACCAUCUAAAAAUGUGCAAUCAGUGCAGAUGAUAACAAUAACAAUAACAAUAACAAUAACAGUAACAAUAACAAUAACAAUAACAAUAACAAUAACAAUAACAAUAACAAUAACAAUUUAUUAUUUAUACCCCACCCAUCUGGCUGGGUUUCCCCAGCCACUCUGGGCAGCUUCCAACAGAAUAUUAAAAAUAUGAUAUAACUUCAAAUAUCAAAAACUUCCCUAAACAGGGCUGCCUUUAGAUGUCUUCUAAAAGUCAGAUAGUUGUUUAUUUCCUUGACAUCUGAUGGGAGGGCGUUCCACAGGGCGGGUGCCACUACUGAGAAGGCUCUCUGCCUGGUUCCCUGUAAUCUCACUUCUCGCAGUUAUGGAACCGCCAGAAGGCCCUCGGAGCCGGACCUCAGUGUCUGGGCUGAACGAUGGGAGAAAGCUGCAUGACAUCAAGCAAGACCAUUGAUUCAUCUCACAGUAUCAUCUGCACUAACGGGCAGCAGUUGUCCAGGAUUUCAAACAGGGGACAUUCCCAGUCCUAGGGAUUGAACUUGGGACCUUCUGCAUGAAUCUAUCACUGAGCUGUGACCCUUCUCCAAAAAUCAGGAUGCUGUUUCCCCUUUUUUUAAUUUGAAAAAAAUAUUAUUUCUUAUACAGGUAUUUCAAAAAAUGUGUAGAUGUCCAGUAUGGUCUGCUAAGAAGUAUGCACACCCUUCAUUUAUACUCAGGAAGGAGAUACAUCUUCUAAAAUGAUGCCUGAUGCUAGAAAACACAAGGCGGAGGUCAUGUGAAAACAAACCAAGUGACCGUUGUGCUUCCAAACAGCCCUUUUGACUCAGACCCAUAUUAGUUGAAUUAGCUGAUCAAUGAAUUGAUUCAUUGACUAAAUUUUGCAUGAUCCAUUGAUUAAGAUUGUUCAGCCAGGGGACUGUCUUACAGACUUUCUACCAUGACACAGAACACAGGUGGGGGAACCUGUGGCUCAGGAGCUACAAAUGGUCCUGAGCUCAUUUUAUGUUGCCCCUAAAUGCCUUCUGCACUUGGGGCCAGGAUAGUUGGUUAAUUCAGUUUGUACCUCAGUUUGGAGCUUGUGUCUCUAAGCACUGAGACUUGAACUGACUGGUACGUAUGCCGACUGGUUUGUCACACAGAUGCAAGGCCCACAUUGCCUGCAUUUAGGGAUAGGGGAGAAGUUGGAUUUAGUUCUCAUUUAAAGGCAAACUUAUCUCAUUUUUCCUUUUCAAAACAUUAAGCACAAGCUGAAACAGAGCUAGCCUUCAGAAAUCGCAAAUCUAUGGCUGUUGCAAUGGACUUCUCCAUCAAGGCAACAUGUACAAAAAUGCACACACUUGGUGAAUGUAUGCAUGAAAAUGCUUGUAUUAUUAAAAAUAACAUAUACAAAUUAUAUUAGGGAAAAUGGCAUACAAAAAUGUGUAUAUUAGGGGAAAUCCACACUAAAAUGCUGAUGAAUUUUCAUGGGGACUUAAAAUUCUUUUUUGCAAACUGAUGUAGAAAUGUGGAGAAGUGAAAUUGAGACAGAAAAGAAUGAGAAACUGAAAUUGACAGAUUUGACAAUUCCUCCCUAGAAUGCAACUUCAGUUUCGUUUGUAUCUUCUGUCCUCCUGCAAAGCAAACACACCCCACAAGUGCUGCAAGAAAAGUUGUAAGACACAUUAGUAUCUCACAUGAAAAGGGUCUACAGUCCUCCCUUGUGCUGGAAGAAUGCACCUCUUGUCAGGCAGAAACUGGGCACAUGUUGUUAUUGUAUUAAGCCAGCCUGAUAAAAGCUAUCAUAUAAUCUACACCACCCAACUAGCAGGAAAACAUGGGAAAAUGCAGCUACAUUUUAAAGAAACAAUUAUAAUCAUGCACACACUGUUGAU